CGCAAGCAAAGCAGCUACAAUCACGCAAAUGCACUUGGCAAAAAAGCAAACACAAAAUUCACCGCAACGACAGGGCAUUGAUGAGCUUAGAUACCCCCAGCCCCCGGCGAUUUCCAACACGGGGCGAGAGGGGGAAAAAAAAAAAAACAGGUGUAAAUUUCGGGAGCCCACGCUUAUGAAUGGCGCGUUUCUGCGUCCACCCGCCCACGUCCAUUGAUCCACUCGGCGUGUUUACACUCCAGGCGGGGGGGGUGGAGAGGAGAGAUUGAUUCUGCCCCGGAGCUGCUUCAACGUUAUCACUGCCUUACAUCCGACUGCCACUCAUUCAAAACGUUGGGUUUUUUUAACUAUCCAGCGAAACAAAAAUGAGCCGUGGCUGUGUGAAAUUCAAACGCGACAAAGGUUUUUUUUUUGUUGAAAUGUUAUAGUUAACUGCAGAUUAAAUUGUAUAUGACUUCUGCAAUGGGAAAGGCACCGGCUCGUGAUGCUAUUUUCACAGACGGGAUAUCCGAAAGAGCGGGAAAGAAACAAUCUAGACGGAUAAACGCAUGCAGCAGACGGACACGUGAGACUUGGUUCAUCUCAUCGGCUGCACUUCUCGAAUGGCACACUGAGCGAGGUUGCGUGGGGACCAGGUUUCAGGUUCUCCAAAAAGGCAUCUCAUUACAGGACCGAAACUGGAUGUCUUCUAACCUGCGUUGCCCAGGCUGCGAGCUUCUUGGGAGCGAAGGACUGGGCCUGUCUAUUCUGUGACCCCCAGUCCAGCCAGGGGCGCCCACUUCACUGAGGUCUCGGGUAGCGAAGAGCUCAUCAGCACACCUGGGAUGAAGCCUUCGAGCCUCAAUACAGCAGUCCUGCACCCCCGCUCCUCCAUCGUGUGCAGCUCUGCUGCCGUUCCGGUGGGCGGCCGUGGGAACACGCCUGAGCCAGCCGUUUUGAGACAUAAGCCGGGAUAUCCGCGGGAGGGAAGAGAGUUCCACCAGCCGUGUCUUCGACGUGCUGCCCUUGGCAGCCCGCAUCAUUCCCGCUGACUGCUAGCAGAGCGGACCGCGAUGCCCGCACCUCCUCUGCCGCCAGCCCAGGCCAUUCGCCGCCAACCCACCUCUCCCAGCAUGCUGGCGGGGCAGACUAGCACGUCCCCAUUAACCCUCCACCCCCCCCACGCGUGGUCACAGUGCGACGCGAAAGAGGGGAGGGGCUGGGAAGUGGGGUCGUGCCGGCGCACCAGCCCCCCCGCGCGGUCGGAUCUUCCCCGACUGUAACACAGUCCUGCCAGCAACCCGCUCGCAGGGCCGCCGAGACGUGCGCCAAGCCACCAGCCGUGUUCCACCCGAAACACGGUUCCCGUUUCCCUGUGGGCUGGGCACGACUCGCCCUGCCAGCCCGCUGCGCCCCACGGGAGAGUCGCCCCCUGCUGCAGGGGCCGGGUCUCGCCGACACCGAACGCCAGGGGUACCCAGCCCCCAUCCCCGGUCACCGUGCUCCACGGACACGGCGUCUCUGCUCUCACAGGUGAUACUGAGGCUGUCGGGGCGCCAGUGUGUGCUCCAGAAUACGCAACGUCAAUGGCUGGGCCUGCCCCCGUGGGGGACAGAAUAACCUACCAGUGUUACACGCCCCGAAGACAGCAUCCACACACAUUUAAUCACUGCAGGCACUGUUUCAGAAAUGCAGAAAUGUUUCACAUCAGUGGGAGGUUUGCUCACACAACGACAUGGGUCACAAGGUCCAAUCCAACUCCAAUCAAGGGGUGAAUGACCAAUGCCCUGGUCACUGCUUUAGUGCCAUGGAAUUAGUACCAGCAUAAGGGAACUACGAGGCAGCUUUGUUUUCUGCCUUAUAGUUCUGUUUGUGAAAACUUAAACAAAAGGUACACAAAGCGCUCAUUCCGAUGACAGAAAAGACCGACCAUAACGUUGCCGCAGGCUAUGUUCUGCGAGUAUGUGCGGUAUAAUGCUGAGGUGUUAAAGCAGCUGAACUGGCUCUUGCACUAAUCCGCUGUCGUGCUGCAGCUUGCCUGCAUGGCCCUGGUCUCUGAGACCAGGAGCUGCAAGCAGCAGGGGGAGAGCCUGACGCCACUUCGCCACUGCCUCUCCCUUCCACUGAAUACCACCCAGCAGGCUGGCACAGGAAACACAAGCCCGUCUUCCACUUCCUGCCACCUGCAAGGAUAAACAACUAAAGGUGGAGGCUGAGGCCCGGGGCCUGGGUGAGCGGUUUAAUGAAGGAAUUCCAGCAAUUCGGGGUUUCACAGCCAGUUCAAUGAAGUGGAUUACACCGCGCGCCAAAUUCCACUUGUAACUCAUGACUUCAUUUUUUCAAGUACAAAAACAGGCAAGCUUCCCGUUUCCUGUGGAUAUCCAUGGUACAGGCAACAACAGAUUGUACAGCAGCCUGUUCUGGAAAGCCUGACUCACACUUCGAUAACCAGGCAAAACUGGCAAGAUAAUCAUGAAUGAGUGUGCUUGUACAUGUACUGCCAUUAAAAAUAUUUCAGCAGUGAGUUCAGAGGACACCUCCAUAAGGAGCAGUAAAAUUCAGAGGCAGGCAGAACACUACACAGAGAACAGCGGGGGUUUGGAACAAACUCCCUCACAGCCCACUGUCCAGAAUUCUUUCAGAAAUGGCCUUUUGGAUCCUUUCGCCAUUAGCAACAGAAUGAGUUAAUGAGGGCAUCCUGCCAUUCAGGGCUUCAUCUCUUUUGCAAACCUGUAGGUUUUCAUCGCACAUGAAAUGCAUACAAACUCGCAAGGAAAGUCAGAAUCGAGCGAGCGUCAUUUAACCCAACUUAACUCACCCAGUUUCCAGAAACUGUAUGAUCGGUUCAAAAGCAUCUCAACUUUUGAGCCCAGAAGGCAGAGCUUUACAAAGGUACGCAAGGUAACAGGGCACCAUCACAUUAAGAGGAUGUCAUGGCUGACAUUUCAAAGAACAAUGCCCAGAAGACUGGUGAUGCUGCACAACCUGCAGUGACACAUCACCCCUGCCCACGUCCGGAUUACUAUUCAGCGAGAGCUGCUCUGCUUGUCCAGCUCUCUCUCUCUACGUGCAUGUUUCUUGGCAGCAGGACGUUCAAAGCUCCACAGCCCACUGAAAGAUAGAUCCUCAGGGGCCCGCUAACAAAACCAGCAAACUCCAGACUCCAAGGUCACAGAGGUUAAUGCUCAAAUGCUGUGGCAAUUCUCAGGUGCUCUGAAGAAUGUGUCAAGUAGUUUUAUGUCGCUCAGAUCAUUACUUCUAAAAGAUCUGGCUAUUUGAGAAGAGGCUGUAUAAUGCACCUGAUCUCUGAGCUGUGACAGUCCCAUGGUAUGAAAUGAUCAAAACGUGAAAUACUGUGGGCCAUGCAAAUUGUUUAAAAUAAUCCCCGUUCAUGCUAUAAAUUUUAUAGCUUUAACUGUCUUGAAAGCGGCCAAGACGUUCUAAGUGCAGUUUGCGUCCACUUUAGACUGUUAAACGCUGCACUGAAUGACCUUAGGGGGCAGUCACUAGUUCAGUUAUAAAUAAGGUCCCAUCAAUAGUGUGGUCUGUCAGAACCAUGGAAGGUGUAAUAACCACCUACACGACAUGUGGAUUAGUCCCAAGUGAACAGCCAACGGGACCGCAGAGCUGACAGAUGCAAUGAGCUGGACUAAUUAGACCUUUCAGAGUAUGGCUCUCCAGGCUGGUCAUGUGGUAUGAACAGGAUCUUCACUAAUUACAAGAUACAAUGUAGUAAAAGAACAAAUGAGCUAAGCAUAUUUUCCGAUGCAAUCAAGAACAACAACUAUGGCAGGAGGGAGUCUCGUGGUUUCAUGUUAGCCACGCUGUGGAUGAACCACUGAAGGAUGCUGUGAACGCAGCACAGAGUGGCUGGCGAGCAUGGGGCCAUUUUAGGAAAUCACCCCAAAAGACUCAAACAGGAUAAAGCAACGCUAAUAAUGAAAUAAACCCAUAAGCAAGUAUACCAUCCUGAAAGAGAUGAGGAAAACAAAUCAAUUCAACAUUUCAUUGCAGGGGGUCAUCUGGGUCUUACUCCUUCCAAAGUGUGUCUGCUCCAUUUGUUUUACUUCAAAAUAAAAGCAAAUCACAUACAAAGGGAUAGACGUCUCAAGUUAAAUGAGAUAAAACCACAAACACUGCUGAAAUACAAAGUUGGAAAAAGGAGCACCCUGCAGGCCUGAGGUGAGGAAUUCAGUAAACACCUGCAUGACCAAUUUAGAGGCUCUUGAACUGCUAGCUGUCCGUUAUCCUGGUUAACGCUGCUGUCUCCUGUGAAGAUGGACUCUCACACAUGUAACCAUCAGAAGAGUGACGUCAGCCUUUACUUCUGUGGGCAUCUUUAGGACUUCGGGGUUCUUGUAUUUCUGCACAUACGUGUACAUGUGCACAUGUACAUAGUACAUACUGUACCUAAAACCAUCUGUGUGGAAUUGAAUACCUACUUGAUAUGCAUACUCCUAGGCCCAUGUAAAUUAGCAAGAGGUGCGCUUGCACAUGCAUAUUUCAUCUCCAGCUUCUUUACAAACUUUUUUGUUUGGAAGAUUCAACACUCCAGAUGAGCCUGUGUGUUUCUCUCCUCGCUGCUGGUUUUGCGUCAGUGGCUCUUUCCUCCUCCUCCUCCUCCUCCACCACCUACUGGAUUUGAAUCCAGCGCCUCUCCUUCUCCACCCAGACUCAUCCCUGUGCUCCCACCUUCCCACGACAAUCCUGCCCCCGGCUCCGUGCUGGUGUGGGAGAAACGGGGGAAUGGUUACCUUGGCUACACUCCCAGCAGCAGGUGUUCCCUGCCAACGCCCGAGAGAGCUCCCGCAAGAUCUGGAAGAGAGCAGGAGCCCUGCCCACUGUGGGCGCCCCAGUACUCCGGCUGCCUCCCAAGCCCCGCACCCCAAGUCCGGAGAAAGAGCCGGAGCUGGCGAUACCACCGUCUGAGAGACUGGACACGGAGAGGCGACCAGCCUGUGAAGCCAGCGUGAGGAUCUCCACUCCUCCAUAACCAUUCUGUAAUGCACUCGUACAAACCCCUGCAAGCGCAGACGGCCAGCAGCACCGCUCACAACAGCGACGCCUGCCAUCUUGAAAGCAGUCACUGUGCAACAUCAGCUUGCGCACUUGCACUUAACUGUUACGCUGGCACUGAUUUAGGGGAGAGAUGCAGCAUCCUCCUGUACCCCCCUGUCCUUCUCUCCCUCAGCUGGUGCACACAACACUAAAGAAUCAGACGCAUAAUAAAGUAGAGAUACCCCAAUUAAAGUGUUUUUUUUUUUUACAGAUGAAUCCUUCAAACGUUCUGAAAGUUCUGAAAUACUUUCAAUUCUGAAAGUAUUUUGAAAUGGAAAAAAAAAAACUUUGCCAAAACAGUUAUCAAUGCGUUUCUUUAUUAUACCCGGAAAAAAACAACAUUCAAGGUUGAAAAACAAACGAGCCGGCUCUUAUCCAGACAGCCAACACAAUGUACUGUCAGUCAGCGUGUGCCCCCCCCCUCACAAGUCGCACUGUUUACAAUAUCUGGAUUAGGCUGGAUUACCGACUUCUGUUCUUUCUUUCACUUGUUCUGUUUGUGACCUCAACAGAUGCCUCGAUGGGAACCUUUUGUCACACGGUUGCGGGCAGAGCGCAGCACAAAGGCACAACAAAAACAGACGAGGCCUCGAAGCCUGUGGACGUCGCCGCCCUGGGCCCGUCACCCUCCCCCAGCCCCGGCGCAAACCAGCGCCGGAGACGUACGGCGUCGGGCACCUACCCACCUGCCUCCUCCCCGCGCUGCCCCCUCCCUCUCAAAAUGGCCGCCUCACAGCUCCAGCCCGGGAGGAUGGGAGGGAGCAGGAGGUUUCAUUUUAUUUUUAUUUCUCCUCCAUUACAGAUCCUAUCGCUACUCCCAUCGGUGCCGCCUCCCCCUAGCAAACCCGAUACCCUCACUGCAGCGGGAAAGGAGCUCAGGGCUUAGUUACAACCGGGAGGGCGCCGGAGGGCGAGUGUCCACAGGGCUGGAGCCUCUGCACGAGUGGCGGGUCCUCCUGGGCUUCUCCCGAGAGGAUCAGCAAAACUUCUCACUCACUUUACCCCCACCAUGAUAUGGUGGAGACACGACACUUGCGCGAGAAAAGGGUUUUCAACCCAUGUGGAUUGAAAACCAAGACUGCAGUGUUUUGUCUGAUGCUUUCAAAAAGCGAUUUCCCAUUAUAUAUCAUCAUUUCCAUUAUAUAUCGUAUUUCACUUCUACGGCUGGUUGUUUCCGCUGGUACGAUUCAGGUCCAGCCCUUUCCUCAAGGGUACAACAGCAGUCUCACCCUCGAUUUGAACCCACCGUCUCCCAGAUACACGUCCAGCACCCUAACUGCUGCAUGUUUGUAUUCAUGCGUUUUCUGCUUGGCUGCGUUUCCUCUCUCAGGAGCAGUCGUCUUCUUUUCAUGAUGAGCGUAACGGCAAUGGGAUAAACCGCCUCUGCGAGACGGAAGCCCCAAGUCUCUACAGCGGAGUCCUGGAGGGCUGGCCAGCAGAAGCUCGCGACGACAGGGCGUUCGGAGGGAACGGCUGGAGCAGUAUCUGCAGGACAGGGGGGUGUGGCAGAAAGGGCAUCUUCUGGCGGCGUGAGACAAAAUCAACCUCAGGAGGAGAGAGCUGGAGCCCUCGGCUCCUGGCCCGGGUCGCCAGCCGAGCCAGCACGCUGCUGGACUGGAUCCCGCCGCCAGCACCCCCAGAGAUCUGCACCCCUUCACUGGCAUCCCGCUCGGCCGGAGCAAGCGCGCGAGGAGAGAACCGAUACUGAUGAACUCCAGUGACCUUUAAUGUAAUCAUGACCCCCCUCCGAAGAAGCCAGUGAGGAGACAGAAAUACACACUUAACUGCCUCAAACCUGCAGGGGAACUGCGGGACCGUUCACGCAUGAGAAGGAAAUAAAACCGGAGGUCUGGUUGGCAGUUCAACCCCCUCCCCACCCCCAGCUCCAUGAACUCUGCUUUAACACACCAGCAACACUGUUCCCCAUCACUCGCAUGCUCUCAGAUUACAGACUACAGCAGACAUGGCAAAUAAUUUCCCUACAAAUUCCCGGCCUCACACACUGACCAGAGUUAAAUCUGCAGCAAGCACUAGAGCCGUCGUUUCACAGACGGCUGUUAAGUGGGACCUGAAAAGGACAAAAACUCUUUCACCCGAGUGUGCCAGUUUAUGGGCAGCAGAAAUCCAGAGCGAAGGGCUAAGAUGUAUAAACAUGCAACCAAUUAAAAUACGGCAUAGUCGGGCUGCGUGCUUGAACAGGGAUUGUUGUACUCUCUAUAGUCAGGAGUCUCGCUGUUACCCACCUGGCACCCUGAGGUCAGGAUUCACCCCAGCUUUCCACUGGUCAGUGUCUGCGCCCCCAGAACGCUGGCCCCAGGCUCCACAGCUGCCACAGAGGGCUGAUCGGCACACAGGGCUGCAAGUGCCCCGCAGAUCCGAAGCCCUCAUCCAAAGAAGGCGGCCAGCCCUCUAAGCAAGCUCUACUGUAUAAUGUGGUUAACUGCGUUUUCUAUUUAUAUUUGUUCCUCCUUCAGAAAAAGGAAAUUUGACCUAUUAAAUCCAGAUGUGCGAAGGAGAGGCACAGCCCCAGUGUCUGCGCAGGCAGCUGCAGGCCCGGCCGGCGGAAGCCGGUCCCAGUCUAGGCCAGGUGCCGCGCUGGUCCGGAACGCUCACGGGGGGAACCGGCUCCCGCCAGCGGCUGGCUGGCGGCCCAGGACACCGCCCUGCGUCACCUGUUCCAGCCAGAAGGCCCCGACCCCAGGAUUACUGCCCCCCGCCACCUCAACCUCCCCCAGGAAGAGCAGGAUCGGGCUGCAGGGACUCCGGACUAUAUCCCCUUCUGUCCCAGGCUCCUAACGCACUGGUCAGUGGGUCUCUAAUAUUGUGGCCACUGCGUGUCCAUCUCAAGCGGGGGGAAAAUAGCAACCGUGAUGGUUGUCAGGAGGAUGAAAUAGACUCCUAGAACAGACAUGGCUCCAGUUGCACAGCAAUGCGAUCCGCUCCAGGUUUGACAGGCAGCCGGCUCUAGCACAGGGGUUCCCAACUCCGGUCCCACGUUUUCCAUUCCCACUGGGGCUCAUGCCUGUCCUUGACCAGCUUGCUUGGUUUGAUAUUUUUAGUCCAUAUUUCCAAGCACCUCACCACACAGAACUUUAUGCAGUCUCUAAUUAAGAGUCUUAAUAAAGCUUGCUAAUGAAGAAUUCGCUGAUAUAUUUCUGAUCAAAGUCCCUUCCUGAACACAGGUGGGAAUGACACCAUUCAUCAAGCAGAAGGAAAAACACUGAUUCACUGCAGGAGUUGGUACUGUAAGUCUGUUUGGUCAUAGUUCUGCUCACAUGCCUGAACGAAUGUACCUAUGAAGUUCAGGAAUUGACACAGGGUUGAAACCAAUAACAAAAACCCUUACAAUUCUUUAAAAGCUGAACAAAUUUUCAAAAGCAGCUAUAAUGAAGAUUUAAAUCAAUAAGUCUGCACUUAAGAACAAUACCAGGAGAGAUAGCGGUCUCCCAGCACUGAGAACCACUGCUGCGGCAGUUUCCACUAGUGCCCUUGCCUGGGUUAAAUCUGCAAUUAAAUAUAUUCCUGCCCUCACUCACUGGGAGGAUUUCUCCAGCAGCCGGCAGCACGUUAACCCAAACUACUGCCUUGGGUCCUUCUGAAACAUCAGCUUUCUCCUUCAGAUCAAUAAGAAAUGAACGAUUUUGUAGACAUGAAGUCCCGUGAUAGAACAGCAGCUGUGAAGACCUGGGCCUUCCUCUUUCAAAGCUGCUGCUGCGCUGACCACGCCGUCCGAAUAGCAAUGAGAUGAAUUUGCUCCGAGCUGCUUUUGCUAACUUGCAGAAUAGUAACAUCGAUGUCAAUCCACCUGUGGUCUCAGAUUCAGGAGGAUCUGCCAGCUCAGGAGAGCUCUGGACAGCUUCUGAC